UACAGAGGGUGCAAGCGUUGUUCGGAAUUAUUGGGCGUAAAGCGCGCGUAGGCGGCUUUGUAAGUUAGAGGUGAAAGCCCGGAGCUCAACUCCGGAACUGCCUUUAAGACUGCAUCGCUAGAAUUGUGGAGAGGUGAGUGGAAUUCCGAGUGUAGAGGUGAAAUUCGUAGAUAUUCGGAAGAACACCAGUGGCGAAGGCGACUCACUGGACACAUAUUGACGCUGAGGUGCGAAAGCGUGGGGAGCAAACAGG
rnacentral:rRNA from 1 species